GCCCUAGUAACGGCGAGUGAAGCGGCAACAGCUCAAAUUUGAAAUCUGGCGCAAGCCCGAGUUGUAAUUUGUAGAGGAUGCUUCUAGGUAGCGACCGGUCUAAGUUCCUUGGAACAGGACGUCAUAGAGGGUGAGAAUCCCGUAUGUGACUGGCCCGCACCUUCUACGUAGCUCCUUCGACGAGUCGAGUUGUUUGGGAAUGCAGCUCUAAAUGGGAGGUAAAUUUCUUCUAAAGCUAAAUACCGGCCAGAGACCGAUAGCGCACAAGUAGAGUGAUCGAAAGAUGAAAAGCACUUUGGAAAGAGAGUUAAAAAGCACGUGAAAUUGUUGAAAGGGAAGCGCUCACAACCAGACUUCUAGGCAGUGUUCCGCCGGUCUUUUGACCGGUCUACUCUCUGUCUCGAGGCCAACAUCAUCUGGGACCGCUGGAUAAGACCUUAGGAAUGUAGCUCCCCUCGGGGAGUGUUAUAGCCUCUGGUGAUGCAGCGAGUCUCGGGUGAGGUCCGCGCUUCGGCAAGGAUGUUGGCGUAAUGGUUGUCAGCGGCCCGUCUUGAAACACGGACCAAGGAGUCUAACAUCUAUGCGAGUGUUCGGGUGUCAAACCCCUACGCGUAAUGAAAGUGAACGGAGGUGGGAAGCGUAAGCUGCACCAUCGACCGAUCCUGAUGUCCUCGGAUGGAUUUGAGUAAGAGCAUAGCUGUUGGGACCCGAAAGAUGGUGAACUAUGCCUGAAUAGGGUGAAGCCAGAGGAAACUCUGGUGGAGGCUCGCAGCGGUUCUGACGUG
rnacentral:rRNA from 1 species